UGUGUGGUGGUGUGUCUGUGCUCUUCAAGAAAUGUGUUCCCUGUGCAUAAGCAUUUUUAUUGCUCUCACUUUCAUUUUUGAGGUGGGAAAACCGAGCCCUUUUAUAAUCAGUUUAGGUCCAUUGUUUUCUUCAGCUUCCGGCAAGAAUCAUUCUUGCCAUGACCACAAAUACGUUGCUUAAAUCAUGAGACUGUUGACGUUACAGAUUUGUUUGGGUCAAGUGAAAAAAAAAAAAAAAAAACACAAACCCAACAAAAUCCAACCCAACAAAACCUCUGAAGGUUUUGGAGAGUGCUGCGGAGGGCCGGACUCUCCGCUGGGUGUUUUUUUGGCCGGCUCGUGCUGUUCGGUAACGCCAGCGUGUGCUUUAUUUUUGUGUGUGUGGGGGGGAAACAAAACCCAAAGUGGGAAGGUGCUGUCAUGGCAAAGUCAGCGGGAUGGUGGUACGGAACUGUUGCUCAGGGGAGAUUUUGCUCAGUUUUGAGUGAUGUGCCAAGUGUUACGGUGGGAACGCUGGCCAGCGUGCACCUAAGGAGUCCCCGCUCAGCUGAUCUUCCCAGCAAGGUGCUGGUUUGUCUGGAAAGAGUUUUUUUUUUUUGUUUUGUUUGGUUUUUUUAAUGGGAAACGUGAUGCCUGACGGUUGAAGGGAUGAAGUUUGCCUGGGUCCGGGAUCAGGAGCGUGCUGGGCUUUCCAAAGCACUUUUAUUUUCGAGUAAUCGUUAAAAGCGCCGUGGAGGGACUUGACUGACUUCUCCGACCUCGUUGAGGGUGAGCUUUGGUGGUGGUUUGCCGGAGCGGCCGUGCCGCCGUAGCCGGGACAGGAGGACACCGUUGGUUUUGGUGAGUGUUGUCACAAAACGCCUUGCCGUGCGCGAGGGGAUGAAGCUUGGCUUUACCUCUGAGCACAGCCUGAAAAUAAAAAGCCUUGGAAGGAACCGGCAAGACCCCAAAGGAGCCGGAGACGGUGUGGCCGCGUGUCCCAUCGCCGGGACCCAACUUGACGCCCAGGGCAAGAGGAAACGGAGAAGCGUUAGGUAGAUGUGACAAGCUGACGUUACAAAGGAGUGUUGAGACAGCGUUACCCCACAGCAGAUAAAGAAGAGUCGCAGGUUUCUUCUGGCAGCUCCGAGCCGAGCGCUGCACGGUCUCCUCCUCACGGCAGCGCCAGGGUUUAUUUGUUGAUGUGAAGGAUUAUUAGAUGGUCAUAGGUAGAUUUGAGGCUCCGACUUGGGCUUUUUUUUUAAACUGGAACGUUUUCCGCGUGGUGAGCUUUGCGUCUUUGGAAAUACGUGUGGUUUUAGUACUUAAUACAUCAUGAAAUUAAAUGGCUGUCUGUAUAAUUGAAAAAAGAAGAAUUGGGCGAGAACGAGCUGUAGGAAAAAGCUGCUUGCUCCGUGUGCGUUAUAGAAAGGCAUUAGCCAGGGAAAAGAAAAAUACAGGGAGAAGAAGGAAUCUUUAAAAAUUAUUUCUUGAAGGAAAGCAAAUCUGGAGAGUGAUGGACACACAGAACAGGAAUGUUUUGACGGGAGUUCCGUUCUGUUACGUGCUGAAUAGGAAGUUACUGGAGCUGCUGACAAGACAGAGCUUUGAAAAGUUUCCUUGACACAGUGGCUUCAAGAAGGCAAAUUUUCUGUGGAAAAAGUGCCUCUGAGGAAUGAGUUCCAGAUGAAGUCGAUCGUUCCGUAGCGAGACUUCUUCCAUAAAAAUGUAGACUCACGAAGGUACGCUCCGGGCUGAACCUCACCGCAGACCUUUGUGCUUUUAACCUGCGUGCUAAACGACACCGUGUUUCUUGACUCUCCCUCAUGCUCCCGCUGAAGA